rnacentral:rRNA from 1 species
AGGANCAUUAUUGAAUGAAUUCGAGUCUUACGGUUGUCGCUGGCCUNNNNGGGCAUGUGCACGCCUGGCUCAUUUCCAUCCUUCACACCUCUGUGCACUUUCCCAUGGGUUGAAUGUUCAGUAGUCUCGAAAGAGGCCUUCUGGACUUUUGGCCUGUGUGUUCUACAACAUACACCUGUCUGUCUCAGAAUGUAUACUUGUCAUGCAUUUAAUUGCAUAUAAUACAACUUUCAACAACGGAUCUCUUGGCUCUCGCAUCGAUGAAGAACGCAGCGAAAUGCGAUAAGUAAUGUGAAUUGCAGAAUUCAGUGAAUCAUCGAAUCUUUGAACGCACCUUGCGCUCCUUGGUAUUCCGAGGAGCAUGCCUGUUUGAGUGUCAUGGUAUUCUCAACCCUCCUGUGGUUUUUGUUUUCGCAAAAGUCCGCAGGUUGGGAUUGGACUUGGAGGUUUUCAUUGCUGGGCUUCUCUCCUGAAGCUUGGCUCCUCUGAAAUGCAUUAGCUUGAAUGAUUUUUACCCAAGCAUGAUCCAGCGUGAUAAUUGUCUACGCUGCCUCGUCGUGGUGAAACCAGGCUUCGAACCGUCUCCUCCGGAGACAACUUUUCUGAACAUCUGACCUCAAAUCAGGUAGGACUACCCGCUGAACUUAAGCAUAUCAAUAAGCGGAGGAAAAGAAACUAACAAGGAUUCCCCUAGUAACUGCGAGUGAAGCGGGAAAAGCUCAAAUUUAAAAUCUGGCAGCUUCGCUGUCCGAGUUGUAGUCUGGAGAAGCGUUUUCUGUGCUGGACCGUGUACAAGUCUCUUGGAAUAGAGCGUCAUAGAGGGUGAGAAUCCCGUCUUUGACACGGACUGCCAGUGCUCUGUGAUGCGCUCUCAAAGAGUCGAGUUGUUUGGGAAUGCAGCUCAAAAUGGGUGGUAAAUUCCAUCUAAAGCUAAAUAUUGGCGAGAGACCGAUAGCGAACAAGUACCGUGAGGGAAAGAUGAAAAGCACUUUGGAAAGAGAGUUAAACAGUACGUGAAAUUGUUGAAAGGGAAACGCUUGAAGUCAGUCGCGUCGAUCAGAACUCAGCCAUGCUCUCGUGUGGUGCAUUUUCUGGUUGACGGGCCAGCAUCAAUUUUGACCACUGGAAAAAGGCUUCGGGAAUGUGGCACCUUCGGGUGUGUUAUAGCCCUUGGUCACAUNCAGUGGUUGGGAUUGAGGAUCUC